GUUCUCCACAUUCCUUGCCCAUCAGACUAAACACUGAUCUGAGUGGUUAUAAAAGGAGGAAAAGUUAAAUAGAAACUGACUUAAAUUGUUUUAUGACACACAAGCUAGUUUCAAAUACAA